GGCUAAAUACAACUCAAGACCGAUAGCGCAUUAGUACGGUGACGGAAAGUUGAAAAGACCCCCGAGAGGGGCGUCAAAAGAGCCUGAAAUCACGCAGUUACAGACGGUUGGAGCCCUAAAGGGUAGAAGCAGCGGAACGAUGGUACGGUAACGUGUCGGUAGGACGCUGUGGACCAGGGUUCCAUGCUCCGUUUCGAAUCACGGACCGGGGAGUUCACUUACGUGGCGAGCCUAAAAGAAAUCGUAAGCUUAGGGAAACCGAAGUGCGGGCAGCCGCAAGGCGAGCCGCUGGGUCUGAAUAGGGCCCGGAG
rnacentral:rRNA from 1 species